CUACGGGUGGCAGCAGUGGGGAAUAUUGGACAAUGGGGGAAACCCUGAUCCAGCAAUGCCGCGUGUGUGAAGAAGGCCUGCGGGUUGUAAAGCACUUUCGGUUGGGAGGACUGCUUCUAGCACUAAUAUUGUUGGAAGUUGACGUUACCUUCAGAAGAAGCACCGGCUAACUCCGUGCCAGCAGCCGCGGUAAUACGGAGGGUGCAAGCAUUAAUCGGAAUUACUGGGCGUAAAGCGCGCGUAGGCGGCUAGAUCAGUCGGGUGUGAAAGCCCCGGGCUUAACCUGGGAACUGCAUCCGAUACUGUCUAGCUUGAGUACAGGAGAGGAGAGUGGAAUUCCGCAUGUAGCGGUGAAAUGCGUAGAUAUGUGGAGGAACACCAAUGGCGAAGGCAGCUCUCUGGCCUGAUACUGACGCUGAGGUGCGAAAGCGUGGGGAGCAAACAGGAUUAGAUACCCCAGUAGUC
rnacentral:rRNA from 1 species